GACGGAGGGGGCGAGCGUUGUUCGGAAUUAUUGGGCGUAAAGGGCUCGUAGGCGGGCCCGCAGGUCUGGCGUGAAAUCUCCACUGCUCAACAGGGAGAGGUCGCUGGAAACCGCGGGCCUGGAGUAGGGUAGAGGGUUGUGGAAUUCCAGGUGUAGCGGUGGAAUGCGUAGAGAUCUGGAGGAACACCGGUGGCGAAGGCGGCAACCUGGACCCAUACUGACGCUGAGGAGCGAAAGCCAGGGGAGCGAACAGG
rnacentral:rRNA from 1 species